rnacentral:rRNA from 1 species
UACGUAGGGAGCAAGCGUUGUCCGGAAUCAUUGGGCGUAAAGCGCGCGUAGGCGGCCUCGUAAGUCCGUUGUGAAAGUCAAAGGCUCAACCUUUGAAAGCCGAUGGAUACUGUGAGGCUAGAGUCCGGAAGAGGCGAGUGGAAUUCCUGGUGUAGCGGUGGAAUGCGCAGAUAUCAGGAGGAACACCGAUAGCGAAGGCAGCUCGCUGGGACGGUACUGACGCUGAGGCGCGAAAGCGUGGGGAGCGAACAGG